rnacentral:lncRNA from 1 species
AUUUAUGAAACGAUGAUAUUUUUUCACUUCAGAGGCUUAAUGCAAAGAAAGAACAUCGCACUUGUGAGGCAAAAUACGCUGUGCUGAGUGAGCCGUGGUUCAGAACAUUUCAGUCUUCGAAUAUCAGUCUUCGCAUAACAAACAAAAAAUUACAUGUAAAGCGUGAAAACUUCAGUGAGUUAAUGUGAAUUUUAACACAAUGAAUUGAAAAAUCGUAUGAUCUUCAAUAUCUUUCAACAACCUGAAAUACACUGGUAGUAAAUGCAGAGAUGAAAGUUUUGCUGGCUUACAAUUAGGUCAAAAGUGCUGCAUCAUCCAGAUAACGUCUCGUGAAAGGGAAGGAACAUGAAGCUCAAAAUGCUACAACUCCUCGCUCUCUUCAUCAGCUCGUCAAUAGUGUCUUGCAAAAGCCCGACGGGAGAUCCGGUGUGGGAGAUACGCCACUUGUUGCCGGAAGCGAACAUCGCCAACAAUU